GUGAAUCAUCGAAUCUUUGAACGCAAAUUGCACUUUCUGGUAUUCCGGAAAGUAUGCCUGUUUGAGGUUCUGUUAAAUAAAAAUCGGUGUUGGUGCUGCUGUUCGUGGUUACGCGUCGUAAUUGAAUUGGCUUACCUUCGUUUAAUUUACUUAAAAUGUUGCAUGAUUUACGAACGUAUUUAAAUUUCUUACGUACGGUUGAGAUAUCGAAUACUUUAUUAGGUUCGGUUAUCAUCAUGAUGCGCUACGAUAUGUU
rnacentral:misc_RNA from 1 species